rnacentral:rRNA from 1 species
CGGUAAUUCCAGCUCCAAUAGCGUAUACUAACGUUGUUGCAGUUAAAAAGCUCGUAGUUGGAUUUCUGUUGUGGGAUGCCGGCCGGGUUCUCUGAACUUGUAGCUAGGUUAUCUUGCAGCAUCUUGGCGCAAAUCUCACUGGCAUUCAUUUGUUGGUGUUGACGACCGCCUCGUUUACUUUGAGAAAAUUAGAGUGUUCAAAGCAGGCUAUAGCUUUUGAAUAUAUUAGCAUGGAAUAAUAUUAUAGGACUUUGCGUUCUAUUUUGUUGGUUGUUCGAGGACGCAAGUAAUGAUUGAUAGGGACAGUUGGGGGCAUCAGUAUUCUGAAGCGAGGGGUGAAAUUCUUGGACCUUCGGAAGACUAACAACUGCGAAAGCAUUUGCCUAGGAUGUUCUCUUUAAUCAAGAACGAAGGUUGGGGGAUCGAAGACGAUCAGAUACCGUCGUAGUCUCAACUAUAAACUAUGCCAGCUAGGGAUGGGUUGAUGUUUAAAUACGACUCAAUCCGCACCUUAUGAGAAAUCAAAGCAUUUGGGUUCCGGGGGGAGUAUGGUCGCAAGGCUGAAACUUAAAGGAAUUGACGGGAGGGCACCACCAGGAGUGGAGCCUGUGGCUUAAUUUGACUCAACACGGGAAAACUUACCAGGUCCGGACAUAGCUAGGAUUGACAGACUGAUAGCUCUUUCUUGAUUCUAUGGGUGGUGGUGCAUGGCCGUUCUUAGUUGGUGGAGUGAUUUGUCUGGUUAAUUCCGUUAACGAACGAGACCCCAGCCUGCUAAAUAGCUUGCUUUAUCUUUGAUAAACGUCAGCUUCUUAGAGGGACUAUUCUGUGUAUAACGAAUGGAAGUUUGGGGCAAUAACAGGUCUGUGAUGCCCUUAGAUGUUCUGGGCCGCACACGGGCUACACUGCGAUGUUCAGCAAGCUUCAUAACCUGACUCGAUAGGGUCGGGCAAUCUUUUGAACUCAUCGCGUGAUAGGGAUAGACUCUUGCAAUUAUUAGUCUUCAACGAGGAAUUCCUAGUAAACGCAAGUCAUCAGCUUGCAUUGAUUACGUCCCUGCCCCUUGUACACACCGCCC